CCUACGGGUGGCAGCAGUCGAGAAUCAUUCACAAUGGGGGAAACCCUGAUGGUGCGACGCCGCGUGGGGGAAUGAAGGUUUUCGGAUUGUAAACCCCUGUCAUGUGGGAGCAAAUUAAAAAGAUAGUACCACAAGAGGAAGAGACGGCUAACUCUGUGCCAGCAGCCGCGGUAAUACAGAGGUCUCAAGCGUUGUUCGGAAUCACUGGGCGUAAGGCGUGCGUAGGCUGUUUCGUAAGUCGUGUGUGAAAGGCGCGGGCUCAACCCGCGGACGGCACAUGAUACUGCGAGACUAGAGUAAUGGAGGGGGAACCGGAAUUCUCGGUGUAGCAGUGAAAUGCGUAGAUAUCGAGAGGAACACUCGUGGCGAAGGCGGGUUCCUGGACAUUAACUGACGCUGAGGCACGAAGGCCAGGGGAGCGAAAGGGAUUAGAUACCCCAGUAGUC
rnacentral:rRNA from 1 species